UUUCCUUCUGUGUUGAGUUGAGAGGAAAACAACUUAAAAUCAGCUUAUUAUGAGGUCCAUUCCUCAUUAAUAGUUGCAAUUAUUGUGAACUCUUGAUUGAUCCUUGAAGCUAUUUUAACCUAUUCAAAUUCCAAGAGCAGCUCUGUUCUAAUGGCUUCAUCUUAGUUCAAAUUCAAGAACAUCCCUUUCUUCUUUCUUUAUCCCUCUUGAAAGUUUAGUAUUUAGCUUCCUUUUUUUCCCCCUGAAAUUUCAUUAUUAAAAUUCUCUCUCUCUCUCCAUAUUUUUUUUUGCUAAAGUUUAGAAUUUUCUUGCUGAUUUGGACUUGUAAAGAAUUGAUAUAAAUUGGGAUUCGAUUUGUUUUUUUGAGUUGAACUGCUGGUUUGUGCUAUGAUUUACUUGCUGGAUUUGCUGUCUGAAUUAUAGGAGUCGAUGGUACCCACCCCCACUAAACUCUUUAUUACUUUUUGUUAUGCAUUAAUUUAGUUUCUUGGGACUUGGGUUUCUUCAGAAAAAAUUCUUUUGGGAAGGAUACAGACGCAAAGUAUAAGACAACUAAGCAGGAAGGACGAAAACUAACGAGUAUAACACAGAAUGAGUCAACCCAAAGUUAAGCGCAGAAUUGGUAAAUAUGAGGUUGGAAGGACAAUUGGUGAGGGCACAUUUGCAAAAGUGAAAUUUGCUAAGAAUUCCGAGACUGGAGAACCCGUGGCUCUUAAGAUUCUUGAUAAGGAUAAGGUCCUUAAGAACAAAAUGUCCGAACAGAUAAAACGGGAAAUAGCAACAAUGAAAUUGAUAAAACAUCCUCACGUUGUUCGCUUGAAUGAGGUGAUGGCAAGCAAAACCAAGAUAUUUAUUGUUUUGGAGUUUGUCACCGGGGGAGAACUCUUCGACAAAAUUGUAAAUCAUGGUCGGAUGCAGGAGGACGCAGCACGGAAAUAUUUUCAGCAACUUAUUAAUGCUGUUGAUUAUUGCCAUAGUAGGGGAGUAUAUCACAGAGAUCUAAAACCGGAGAACUUGUUGUUGGAUGCUUCUGGAAACCUCAAAGUUUCUGAUUUUGGAUUGAGUGCUCUGUCCUGGCAAAUCAGGGACGAUGGUUUGCUUCAUACUACUUGUGGAACUCCAAACUAUGUUGCUCCUGAGGUCCUAAAUGAUCUAGGCUAUGAUGGAGCAACUGCGGACUUGUGGUCAUGUGGAGUCAUACUCUUUGUAUUGCUUGCCGGUUACUUGCCUUUUGAUGAUCCCAACCUUAUGAAUCUGUAUAAAAAAAUUUCUUUAGCCGAAUUCACUUGUCCACCAUGGCUUUCCUUAAGUGCAAGGAUAUUGAUUACUCGAAUCUUGGAUCCAAAUCCCAUGACCCGGAUCAUAAUCCCUGAAAUUUUGGAGGACGAGUGGUUUAAGAAAGAUUAUAAACCACCAGUAUUUGAUGAAAAUUACGAUACAAACUUGGAUGAUGUUGAAGCUGUAUUUAAAGACUCUGAGGAACAUCUUGUCACAGAGAAGAGGGAAGAGCAGCCAGCAGCAUUGAAUGCGUUUGAGUUAAUUUCAAUGUCAAGAGGUCUCAACCUUGGGAACCUGUUUGAUGGAGAACAGGAAUUCAAGAGGGAAACAAGGUUCUCGUCCAGAUGCCCAGCAAAUGAUAUAAUUAAUAAGAUUGAAGAAGCUGCUAAGCCUCUUGGUUUCGAUGUUCGAAAGAAGAACUACAAGAUGAGGCUAGAAAAUGUGAAAGCUGGAAGAAAAGGAAACCUUAAUAUUGCCACUGAGGUUUUCCAGGUUGCGCCUUCUCUGCAUAUGGUUGAGGUUAGAAAGGCAAAGGGAGACACGCUAGAGUUCCACAAGUUCUAUAAAAACCUUUCAACGAGCCUCGACGACGUAGUUUGGAAAACUGAAGAUGACAUGCAAGAGAAAAAGUAGUACCUUCUGUAGUGAAGAAAAUGAAACUCACUUCUGGCGUGGACUACUUAGAAAUCUUAUACAGAACUCGCUUCUUGAAUCUUGAGCACAAGUUUUUCUGGUUCAGUGCUGGAGAAAAUGUCGUCACACAUUGUUGGAUAAGAUUGAGCAGCCUAGAGAACCUCGACAUUUUCUUAGUAUAUUAAGGAUUGUAUUAUUUUAUGUUUAAGCUUGCGUUUGGCUGAGUGUAAUAAAUUGAAUAAUGAAUAAUUUUAAUACAAUAAGCGUUCUGAGUAAAUUUUACAAAA